UAGAAAAAACUUUAUUUUAUUGAAUUUUUAAAUACAUUGCACACGUUAUGCUCCAGUAUGCUCAGAGGAGAGCACAGCUUUUCCUGUAUUACUCCACACAGAAUAUUUUUAUUCUACAAUAAUUUAUUUUUUCUAACAUAAAAGCAUAUAUUUUUAUGUAGCAUAUAUAUAAAGAUGUGUUUUACAAAGAAGCUAAAAGAAAUUAGCUAUUCAAAAAUCACAGUGAUAUUCCCAGUUCCUUUAUAAAUCCUACUUCUACUAUUCUGAUUAGUACAAUCAGAUGUUAUUUGGCUGUUUCUUAUUCUUUUAAAAUUGUAUAAAUAUGUGUUAGUCAUAACAAAGACAUCCUCUCUCUACAAAGCCUGCACAUGUGUUCACUGCCAAUGCAUUUAAAGGAAAAUAAUUUUGAGCUUUGCAUUGAUUUGCAGCAAUUUUUCUCUUCAGGAAUCAAAUACCACACUGCUUUCUAAUAGGAAUUUAAUUAAUUCCUCUUGUUCAACAAUUAAUUAGUUCAUGGUUUCUGUGUAUGUAUUGAACAUGCAUAUUGACAGCUCUUUAUGAGAGGGGGAAAAACAUGAGGAAACAGCACACAUUUUAGUCACACUUUGCAAAUAUGAAUAGUGGCAAUAUCAUACAGUGUACAUCAUGAGGGAACUGUACUCUUCUACAAAUUUCUUCUUUACAUUUAAUUUUUCCACUACAGCAUCCAUUAAGUAUGAGGUAAAAGGAAAGUGAAAAAGAAACAGAGUAAGAAAAAUUAUCAUUAAACUUUAUUUUUUUCAUGUGAAAUACAUUUAUUAAAUAUCUUUAAACUAUCAGAUUUCACUUAGUUCUGACAACUACCACACACACAUUUCUGAUCUUUAAAGUUCAUCUGCCUGGUUAGAGUCUGAAAAUUUGCUCUCUAUCAUAAAAAUGAUAAAAGAGCAGUGUAAAAUGAAAAAAGAUAAACUCCUUAUUGAACAAUUCAUGCUUUACUGACCAUGUUAAUGAUGUAAACUGCAGUACCAGCAUCUCUGUCAUUUAUCUUCAAUCAGAUGAUCAAUAAAAGGUUACAGUCACCUCUAGGGCAUGCAGAAAUGGUAGUGAAUGAGUGUAAGUUCACUAUUCUCAGGAGGAUGAGACAGAACUACACGUAUAAUUUUCAAUGCUGUAGCAAAUUGCCUUAGACUCACACACAAAACCUUGUAAAUAAUUAAACAACAACAAACAACCUAAAAUACCCAAAACCAAACAAGAACAAAACCCCAAAACAAACAAAACCACAAAAAACAACUCUCAAAGCAAAGUAAAAUCCCAAACCUCCAACUGCAUUAAUUGUAAUAUGACACAAAUGUCUGCUUCUCUUAAACAGGAUACCAAAAAUUUUAGUGACAUGUCUACAGAGAAAAAUUAAAACCUCUUUUAACUUAUCUGAUAUGAAAGAUGUAUUUGCACAACCUAUGUCUUCAAAGGAGAUUUGGUAUAUUUUUGUGUUAUCACUUUAAUGCCUGAAGAGGUUUUCUUUCAAAGUUCUGGUGUAUCAGUGCACUGUUUGCUUGGAAGCAUUUUUAGAAGUGGUACAGAAGAGUGUUGUGGCAGUAUCCAUCCCUCUGGCCAGUGCUGUGCCAGAGGAGAACAGGACAGUUUUCCUUUGCUGUUGAAAAGUCUCUAUCAGCUUCACAGAACUCUACCAGCUUUCUGAACACAUGGUGAGACCAGUGGUGAGUGAGGGGUCAGUACUACAUGAAAAGUAACAGUUCAUUCAGAAGGAGACAUAAUUCCACCAGAAAUAAAUAAGGUAAAAUAAAGAAUCUGGUGGAACAAGCUGCUGGCCAACCAUAAUUUUCUGCUUUUCACAACUUCAGUUCAAAGCAACACUUUUCUAUCUAGAACUCCUGUAUAGUUCCACACUUCAGUAUUGCUGCUCUAGUUUCAUUUUUUUACUUCUCUAUGCCAUCUGAAAGAGAAAAUUGUAUGGUCUUUAUGCCAGAUAGAGUAGUGCUGGUUUCCUAAAUAGACAUGAAUCAAAAAUUAUAAAAGAAACAAAUAAAAACCCCAGAUAUAAAGCACAUCAAAUACAAAAUGUUACAUUUGAACUGAUAUAGAGACACAAAUCUAUAUACUGUUAUUUAUAAUUUCAAACAUGGCAGAAAAAAAAAUCCAAAAAAGGAAAAUCUUGUUUAUAGAAGGCAUGUACUGUGAAAAGAUAAUAUGGCAUCCUAAGUGCUGCUCAACAGUCACUUUGUAGUUACAGAAAAAGGACAACAAUAUGUAUUGUUUCCUUUUGCUACAGGAAAGGGGGUUUUCAAGGGCUGGUGCUUUUUAGCCAGACAUGUCUCCAUCUGUCAUAAAUAACUUAGGUGUGUGGUAAGAAAUUUCUAGAAGACAUGUACACCUGUCAGCUUUCUCUUGUGCUCUAUUGUGAAGACUUUUGGGGGAAUAGAGGGCUCAAAUUCACUGAGCACAAAUCUAUUCAGUGUAAUAUAAGACAUAAUCUUAUCUGAAAUUCUGUGACACUCACUUGCUACUAUGCUUUGAAAAUAUUGACUCCAGCACCCUGCUCCCUCUAAUUUCUCUCCCUUUUUUCCUAAGUAUGUUUAUUAUGAGAACACUGUACCAUUACCUCACAGUCUUUAAUUCUUCUUGCCUGACUUGACUACAUCCAUUUCUGAUACAUUUUACCUCCUUAAUGCCAUGACUGAGAUGAAUGGCUUUUUAUUGAUGUCUCUGGCUGGUAUCAUUCUAACUACAUUUUACUUGCUGCUCACUUCUCUCUGUGGCUUCUAUGUUAUAGCAAAGUGAUCUUUCAAGAACUCUUACCAUUCAAGUGAUUCAUUUAAAUCCAGAGCAUUUGAAAGUGGAACAUUAUGUCAUUCUUUCAACAUUUGUUGGUUUCAGAGAAAGUGCUGUAUGUUUCUCUCUGGUUUUCUUUCCUUGCAGACACCCAGAACUGAAUGAUCUCUACAGCCUUAAUCUUUAAUAGAAGCUUGUCGGAUUUACUUCUAAUGACGACUCUGUAACUAUCCUGGGAAACCUCCCUUUACACUUCUCCCCAGAACUUCACAACUACUGAAGCAAUCUCUACUCUAAAGCAUUCAUCCCAGCUUCAAAACCUGCCAUAUGCUUGGGAAGUGCUUUGCAAGUUCAGUGAGUGCC
ensembl:lncRNA